GACGAACGCUGGCGGCGUGCUUAACACAUGCAAGUCGAACGGAAAGGCCCCUUUGGGGGUACUCGAGUGGCGAACGGGUGAGUAACACGUGAGUAACCUGCCCUUGACUUCGGGAUAACUUCAGGAAACUGGGGCUAAUACCGGAUAGGAAUCCUUGCUGCAUGGUGGUGGUUGGAAAGCUUCUGCGGUUUUGGAUGGACUCGCGGCUUAUCAGCUUGUUGGUGGGGUAGUGGCUUACCAAGGCUUUGACGGGUAGCCGGCCUGGGAGGGCGACUGGCCACAUUGGGACUGAGAUACGGCCCAGACUCCUACGGGAGGCAGCAGUGGGGAAUAUUGCACAAUGGGCGGAAGCCUGAUGCAGCAACGCCGCGUGCGGGAGGACGGCCUUCGGGUUGUAAACCGCUUUCAGCAGGGGCGAAGCUUGUGGUGACGGUACCUGCAGAAGAAGCACCGGCUAACUACGUG
rnacentral:rRNA from 1 species